rnacentral:lncRNA from 1 species
GUCAAGCAGCCUAUUAGCCCACCCCGACGCGAGGUGAGCCCAGCAGGCGGAACCUAGCACUGGCCGGCUGGCCACGCGCCUCCCGUCCGCACUCGUCAUGCCGCGCCGCCUCCUGUGCCUCCCGUCCGCACUCACCUUCACCCCCGGCCCCGCGCCCCCGUCGGCCGUGCGCCCCGCUGCCGCCACCCGCCAGGUCGCCGCCUCGUCGGUCGCCCUUACCCCCCGUGGCCCCGCCGACCAUGCGGCCACGCCCCCACGCCGCCACCUGCCAGGGACAGUGCUCGCAAAAAGCCCAAAGGAUAGUGUUAGACUUGUUAAACAUCAUGACUUGGGCUAGGUUGAAAGGAUCUAAUCUAUUUAGGGACUUAACUGCGAAAACUAAGGGCUUAAACGCAUUACAAACUUAAACUUGGACUGGAUCUCGGGGUUAUGACUUUUCUCGGGGUCUAAACCACAAAAGGGCUUAUCUUCUUCCUCACCUAUCCACUUGGCCGGACAGACUUGCCAGCGGCGGCAGCCGGGGUCGGGGCGGCUCGCGGCUGCAGUGCUCGGCGGCAGUGCUAGGCACAGGAGCGCGCGAGACGGCCUGGGGAGGCAGCGACGCAAGGCGGCGCGGCGCAGGAGGCUGGAUGGCGGCGGUGGUGCCGCGGGCUAGGUGGCGGCGCGCGGCGCGAAGCGAGCGGGGGCGAGCGCGGCGCAGGUGGCGGCGAUGCAGCAGGGAAUCGCG